CAUAUUGAUAACACUGCUGGUUGUCACACAGCUAUUAUUGAGGUAAUCUAUAUUUAGAGCUAACAUUGGUUUAAAUUAAAUUAUGGUAAUUAAUUUAAGUUAAGUUAAUGACUCUUAGUUAAGUUGAUGGUAUUAGUCAUUGUGUUGUGACACUUAUAGGUGUAUUCAUUAGAUAUGCAUUUUGGCAACUGGCAUUAUAUUUCAAACUAGGCAUUGGUUGUUAUAUGGUUGGUGACAUGAAUGACAGUAACUGAGUUAUAUAAUUAGUAUACUGUGUGUGUGUGUGUGUGUGUGUGUGUGUGUGUGUGUGUGUGUGUGUGUGUGUGUGUGUGUGUGUGUGUGUGUGUGUGUGUGUAUUCAUAUGGCUGUUUACUCAAUUGGAAAAGUGUCAUCUACUAGCAUUGGUACAUUCAAGACACAUUAAUGCAUGAACUACUAUCGUCCUAGCAAUGAUGAGAUAGAGGAUAAUUUCUUGGACAAGAAACUCCUAUCUUUGCCUCAUUUGAUUCUAGUGUAUAUAUUGAGUAACUGGUAUUUCAUUGGGGUGGACAAGGUCUGUGACUGUUGUUGUCGACAAGAACUGUCUGGCUUGCUGCAUUGUGGGUGUUCUGACCAUUACUGAUGGCCAUGUGAAAAAUGUGAGAGCGUUACCUGGGCCAUCAAGCUACACCUGGUACUGAAAUAAUCCAGGUAGCCAAGCAUGGUGUUUGUCCUUUUGUUGGCUAUGCCACAUUACUGGUUGAUGACACUUGAAAGACACCAUGUAUUUGAGACAACAGCAAAAUCAACAUGGUCCUUAAUACUUCUAAAAUGAUCUGUUGCCAGCCAGCUGACAGUUGUUUGGCUGAAAUUCUUUGUCAACAUUAUUAAUUAACAAUGAGUUGAUGUCUGCUACUUGUUAUGAGUUCAUUUGAAGCCAUGCUCUAACUAGAAGAAGG